CCCCCACACACACACACAAACACCUCACACAUGCAUGCAAGCAUCUGCGCGCAGGUUCACAAUACACAUUAUUGUGUUCAAACGGCCUAUGAAAAAGUAACAUAAUAUUUUCAAGCAUAAUACAAGCGCUCUUAAUUCUUUAUUUGGUUUUACCUUUUGUAGACGUUUUAAACAUAAAAAUACUAGUGUCGAGAGCAAUUGCACAUAUGUAUUUAAAGAGGUUAUCUAAAUAAUAUUGGUUGAAACAUAUCUAAUGAUGUGGAUCAAUUUUUGAAAAUGUUUAUCAUGCUUGUUUUUAAUAAGGGCAAUUUCUGCUUCCGUCUGUAUUUUUAUUGUAAAACCCAUUUAUGUCUAGCGUCUAGAAAAAAAGGCCUUUGUAAACAGCAUGAUGCGGCGUCUCAUCUGGAUCUACGCUGUUUAAAGGAAUUUCUGUAAGAAAUAUUCUAAAUAUAGAAAUAAAUAUACUAGACAUCCCUAAUUUUGGAAAUAAAUUGAUCCCAUUUAGAAGGAUGGGAGAGUCUACCAGGUAUAAAUAGGUUAAGAUAAUUAAAAACAGAGUUGACGUUUGAGAUGCAUUUCAUGUAAAAUAUGAAUGUUUAUAUUUAAAUUUAUACAAAAUUCAAAACAUCGCUGUAAACAUUUUUGUCGAUAAUACCAAUAAAAGGUUAUUUAUUUGUUGGAUUUUAUUUCAAUACUCACAUCUUUAAGAAAGUUUUGCAGGUUCGUCUAUAAUUCUUGAAAGUAAGCGCAUUCCGAAAAUAAGUGGUCAAUUGUUUCAAUAUUUGAUUGGCAAAACUCGCAAAAACUACACUCUUUCAUUCCGCAUUUUGUUUAAAAUUUAUGUGUACGAACUGUUCACUUAAAUGGAAUUGUAUAUAAUUAUUAUUCUCAGUCGGUAAUUUCGUUUAGAUUCAAUGUUUUUUUUUCUAUUUCAUUUCAGUACUGUUGUCAUUUUUAUUUUGUGAUUCUUGUUGUAUACUAUAAAGUCUUUUGUUUCUUUGUUUGAUAUUCUCUAUUACAUCACAAUUGUUUUUUCGGGAACUAUUAAUAUAUAAAUGCGUAUGCAAUAUUAUUUUUAAUUCGUGUGGAGUCGCGGAUAAAAGUGAAUAAUAAUUUAAAAAAAUAAGUGGUUGUAUUUUAUAUAAGAAUUGCAUUUCACUAAACAUAUAAUAUGCAUUUCUUUGAUAAUUGUUCAACUGUCCUAUAUUUUUUAUACGUUUGUUGUACAAGUUCACUAGAAAAACAUAUUUAUUAUUGAUGUUUAUAUUUUUGUUGUUCCGUAUAACAUAAUAACUAUAGGAAUACUUCUUUGUGAACUAAUAGGUUUUUAACCAGGUUUUCCGAAGGAAAAAACUGGUUAUUAGAUUGGCGAAUGCGGGCGGGCUGGCUGGCUGGCGGGCUGGCUGGCUGGCUGGCGGGCUGGCGGAAUAAGCUUGUCCGGGCCAUAACUAUGUCGUUCAUUGUCAGAUUUUAAAAUCAUUUGGCACAUUUGUUCACCAUCAUUGGACGGUGUGUCGCGCGAAAUAAUUACGUCGAUAUCUCCAAGGUCAAGGUCACACUUUGAGUUCAAAGGUCAAAAAUGGCCAUAAAUGAGCUUGUCCUGGCCAUAACUAUGUCAUUCAUUGUGAGAUUUUAAAAUCAUUUGGCACAUUUGUUCACCAUCAUGGGACGGUGUGUCCCACGAAAGAAUCACGUCAAUAUCUCCAAUGUCAAGGUCGCCACGACUAAAAAUAGAUUUAAAAAAAAAAAAAACUUACAAAGGGGGUUAAUUUUUUUUGGUCAUUUCAAAAGUUCAGUUUGAGUUUUCUCCCUUUAUCAGAUUUUUUUUUCACAAUGAAAACCUGGUUUUGUGACAAUUUUGUCCCUUGUUUAUGUUUUGCUUUGCGACAAGCAGAGCUUUCAUUAAUAAAUGUUCUUUACUAAACGAACAGAGAUAUAGAACCAACAAGACAAAAAUACAAAAUUAUAUACACCUUUUCCGCAUAUUUGCGUUUUGUCCGAUAUCCCCCCUUUUUGCCUCUGCUCGUAUUAUUAUUAAUCGGGAUCUUUGUUAUAUUUAAUUAUUAAGCACAACUAAUUCCUUAAAAUGUAUUGGUACUUGAUUUAUUUCAACACAACACAACAUUUUUUUAUUUUCAUUGUGUCACGUGACUUGCUAUUACUGUUUAUGUACAUAUCUGUAUGUUCACAUGGGCCUAUGGCCUACUGAUUCUGAAAUAAAAUCUUCUUCUUCUUUA